CUGAGCCAGGAUCAGAGGAGCAUUCUUAAAGGAACGAAGCAGUACCGAAAGGAGCUGUGGACUUUUAAGAAGAGAGAAUGCCGGAAUGAGUAGCGAGAGUACGGUGAGAAUCCUUACGGCCGAAUAUCCAAGGUUUCCAGGGUAAAGCUGAUCUGCCCUGGGGAAGUCGGGACCUAAGGCGAGGCCGAGAGGCGUAGCCGAUGGACAACAGGUUGAGAUUCCUGUACUACAGUAUGACAGAACUGUGGGGACGCAGAAGGAGAGCACUACCUGGAAUGGAAUCCAGGGGCAAGCACAGGAGGGGUACGGCUGGAAAAACCGCCGUGCAACCCAAAGGUGUGACGCAUACCGAACUAAAGUAGGGAAAUGUGUGAGCCGGCUGCCGAGAAAAGCCGCUAUUGUUUGUACUGUACCCGUACCGUAAACCGACACAGGUGGAUGAGGAGAGAAUCCUAAGGCCGACGGAAGAAGCAUUGCUAAGGAACUCGGCAAAAUGACCCUGUAACUUCGGGAGAAAGGGUGCCUCGAAAGAGGCCGCAGAGAAUAGGCCCAAGCAACUGUUUAGCAAAAACACAGGUCUAUGCAAAACCGCAAGGUGAAGUAUAUGGGCUGACGCCUGCCCGGUGCUGGAAGGUUAAGGGGAGAUGUCAGGAGACGAAGCAUCGAACUUAAGCCCCAGUAAACGGCGGCCGUAACAAUAACGGUCCUAGGUAGCGAAAUUCCUUGUCGGGUAAGUUCCGACCCGCACGAAAGGCGUAAUGAUUUGGGCGCUGUCUCGGCAAUGCAUCCGGUGAAAUUGAAGUGCCAGUGAAGAUGCUGGCUACCCGCGCCAGGACGGAAAGACCCCAUGGAGCUUUACUCCAGCUUGAUACUGGGAUUCGGUAUUGUAUGUACAGGAUAGGUGGGAGGCUGAGAAAUGGUGACGCCAGUCGCCAUGGAGCCGCUGUUGGGAUACCACCCUUGCAGUACUGGAUUUCUAACCAGCAGCCGUGAUCCGGCUGGGGGACAACGUCAGGUGGGGAGUUUGACUGGGGCGGUCGCCUCCGAAAGGGUAUCGGAGGCGCUCAAAGGUUCCCUCAGAAUGGUCGGAAACCAUUCGAAGAGUGCAAAGGCAGAAGGGAGCUUGACUGCGACACCGACGGGUGGGGCAGGUACGAAAGUAGGACUUAGUGAUCCGGUGGUAUUAAGUGGGAAUGCCAUCGCUCAACGGAUAAAAGCUACCCUGGGGAUAACAGGCUUAUCACUCCCAAGAGUUCACAUCGACGGAGUGGUUUGGCACCUCGAUGUCGGCUCAUCGCAUCCUGGGGCUGUAGUAGGUCCCAAGGGUUGGGCUGUUCGCCCAUUAAAGCGGUACGCGAGCUGGGUUCAGAACGUCGUGAGACAGUUCGGUCCCUAUCCGGCGUGGGCGUAGGAUAUUUGAGAGGAGCUGACCUUAGUACGAGAGGACCGGGUUGGACUGACCUCUGGUGCACCGGUUGUCAUGCCAAUGGCACAGCCGGGUAGCCAAGUCGGGAAGGGAUAAACGCUGAAGGCAUCUAAGCGUGAAGCCCCCCUCAAGAUGAGAUAUCCCCCGCAUAAGCGGUAAGACCCCUUGAAGACGACGAGGUAGAUAGGGCAGAGGUGGAAGUGCAGUAAUGUAUGGAGCUGACUGCUACUAAUAGGUCGAAGGCCUAGC
rnacentral:rRNA from 1 species